CCUCGGGUGUUUCUUUUAGGCAGUGUUGGUGUUUCAAGCUGUGUUCGUGCAGCUUGUUAGGCUGAGAACGAGCUGAUAACAUAAACCACCCUCCACCCUUAAUAGCGAAGGAACUGUGGGACUGGCGGGAUUUAAGGAAGCAACUGCGCUCAAGUCUUUUCCAGCAGAAACCCUCAGAACCGAAAACAGUUGAACAGAUUUGCAGGCUUUGGAAUUGGCCUUGCAAGGUAAGAGUUGUAUUCACUGACAGUGAAGUAGUAAAACUCUUAUUUGUCUUACAAACCCUACAUAUACUUUUGUAUUGUGUUUUUAUGCCAGUAGACUUCAGCAGUUGAAGUACCUGUAGAAACCUACUACCCAGAAUCCAUUUAGUUUUCUGUUCUCUUUAACUGUUGCUUAAAAGUACUAAAUCAUCAAUGAAUGCAAGAAACAGUUUUUCAUAAGUUGUGCCCAGGACAUGAGUACCCUGUCUGAGCAAUCUGAAAGUAACAUCAGAGAACUUUUUUCACAUCUGCCACUUCAGUUACUACUUUUAGGUAAUGCAAAUAUUUUCUAACAAGAUGAAAAUGUCUUCAAGUAUGUUAUCAGAAUACCAUGGGAUCAUCAUGUUCAUCUAGCCAAGUGGUCUGAUAACCAUUUUAUUCCUUAUUGUGGUGACACUGAUCAUUGAUAAUGUUUUUGAGAAAAUGGUGGACUUUAAAAUAUUUAACAUUUUCAGAGGUUUAAUUGUCAGGUGUAAGUAUGAUGAUAAGCUGAGGGUUUUUUGUAGGAUGCCUUCUGAGUCAUACUCCCCUGAUUAGGUUUCCGUUGGUCAAAGUACUAAUGCAGUUUGUGAAAGGGUGGGAGUUGUUUUUUUUUUUUUGUCUUGGAAAAGUUAGAAUUAAAAAAAGUUUAACUCCUUGUUGACCUGAAUGUAAUACUUCUCAGAGAAAAGCGCUUCUCUCUUCAGAGUAUGAGAAUACUUCUGCCAGUUACUCAGUU
rnacentral:lncRNA from 1 species